rnacentral:rRNA from 1 species
CGUAGGGCGAGCGUUGUCCGGAAUUAUUGGGCGUAAAGCGCGCGCAGGCGGUCCUUUAAGUCUGAUGUGAAAGCCCACGGCUCAACCGUGGAGGGUCAUUGGAAACUGGGGGACUUGAGUGCAGGAGAGGAGAGCGGAAUUCCACGUGUAGCGGUGAAAUGCGUAGAGAUGUGGAGGAACACCAGUGGCGAAGGCGGCUCUCUGGCCUGUAACUGACGCUGAGGCGCGAAAGCGUGGGAGCAAACAGGAUU